AUUGAACGCUGGCGGCAUGCUUUACACAUGCAAGUCGAACGGCAGCGCGGGCUUCGGCCUGGCGGCGAGUGGCGAACGGGUGAGUAAUACAUCGGAACGUGCCCAGUAGUGGGGGAUAGCUCGGCGAAAGCCGGAUUAAUACCGCAUACGACCUGAGGGUGAAAGCGGGGGAUCUUCGGACCUCGCGCUAUUGGAGCGGCCGAUGGCAGAUUAGCUAGUUGGUGGGGUAGAGGCCUACCAAGGCGACGAUCUGUAGCUGGUCUGAGAGGACGACCAGCCACACUGGGACUGAGACACGGCCCAGACUCCUACGGUAGGCAGCAGUGGGGAAUUUUGGACAAUGGGGGAAAGCCUGAUCCAGCAAUGCCGCGUGUGUGAUGAAGGCCUUCGGGUUGUAAAGCACUUUUGGCGGGAACGAAAAGGACUGUGCCAAUACCACGGUUCGAUGACGGUACCCGCAGAAUAAGCACCGGCUAACUACGUG
rnacentral:rRNA from 1 species